CACGUAGGCACCAAGCGUUGUCCGGAUUUAUUGGGCGUAAAGAGCUCGUAGGCGGUUGAGUAAGUCGGGUGUGAAAACUCUGGGCUUAACCCAGAGCCGCCACCCGAUACUGCUCUGACUUGAGUUCGGUAGGGGAGCAGGGAAUUCCUAGUGUAGCGGUGAAAUGCGUAGAUAUCAGGAGGAAUACCGGUGGCGAAAGCGACUCUCUGGACGGCAACUGAUGCUGAGGCACGAAAGCGUGGGGAGCAAACAGG
rnacentral:rRNA from 1 species